UAGCGUUGUUCGGAAUUACUGGGCGUAAAGCGAGCGUAGGCGGCUGUGUAAGUUAGAGGUGAAAGCCCGGGGCUCAACCCCGGAACUGCCUUUAAGACUGCAUCGCUUGAAUCCGGGAGAGGUGAGUGGAAUUCCGAGUGUAGAGGUGAAAUUCGUAGAUAUUCGGAAGAACACCAGUGGCGAAGGCGGCUCACUGGACCGGUAUUGACGCUGAGGUGCGAAAGCGUGGGGAGCAAACAGG
rnacentral:rRNA from 1 species